CAGUUGCGAAUUCUGGGUUUCUCUCCCUCAGUUGACUCAGGUUUGGCUGCGAAAGAUUUAAUUCAAGCAAACUAUGGGGUACAUUUUUGUGAUAUCGUUGCCGGUGAUUCUGUUGUUCUUGAUCAUAGCUCUAGCAUGCUACAUUUUCGGUAGGGCACAGGCCCGGGCCCAAGCGACGGGAGUGCCCCAGUACUACGGACCUCCGGCACCCCCACUGGGAGCUCCUCAAUUUCAUGGCUCUGUGAAAUGAAUUUGUGGUGGUUGUACAUACAAUGAUACAAAAUAUUUGCAUCCAAUUGAAAUAAAGGUGUGACAUGGUAGUCUCUGUCCAUAUGGUUUGAUGAUAGCAUUGUAUUUUGGUGUUUGAAUCCUUGUGUAAAGGGCUGAGAAUUUUUAAUUUCUUGAAUUUUCUUAGCAGUGGAAAUGGGGUUUUUAUUUUUUUUUUCCGUAUGUAUCUCUCAAUUUGAUACAAACAUAUUUAAAUGAUAUUUUAUUUUUCUCA